rnacentral:rRNA from 1 species
CCCCGGGAAAACGAAAGUGUGACGGGGUUACCCAAAGUGUUCUUUAUAGAACUGUGGUAGGUGAGUAAUGUCCCCUACUAGAAAGGAGAGGGCAAGGCUGGUGCCAGCCGCCGCGGUAAAACCAGCUCUUCAAGUGGUCGGGAUAAUUAUUGGGCUUAAAGUGUCCGUAGCCGGUUUAGUAAGUUCCUGGUAAAAUCGGGUAGCUUAACUAUCCGCAUGCUAGGAAUACUGCUAUACUAGAGGGCGGGAGAGGUCUGAGGUACUACAGGGGUAGGGGUGAAAUCUUAUAAUCCUUGUAGGACCACCAGUGGCGAAGGCGUCAGACUGGAACGCGCCCGACGGUGAGGGAUGAAAGCUGGGGGAGCGAACCGGAUUAGAUACCCGGGUAGUCCCAGCUGUAAACUAUGCAGGCUAGGUGUUGGGGCGGCUACGAGCCGCUUCGGUGCCGCAGGGAAACCGUUAAGCCUGCCGCCUGGGGAGCACGGCCGCAAGGCUGAAACUUAAAGGAAUUGGCGGGGGA